rnacentral:rRNA from 1 species
AUUGAACGCUGGCGGCAGGCCUAACACAUGCAAGUCGAACGAGUGGCGGACGGGUGAGUAAUGUCUGGGCAACUGCCUGAUCGACGGGGAUAACUACUGGAAACGGUGGUUACUACCGCAUACCAUCGGAUGUGCCCAGAUUGGAUUAGCUAGUCGGUGGGGUAAAGGCUCACCUAGGCGACGAUCCCUAGCUGGUCUGAGAGGAUGACCAGCCACAAUGGAACUGAGACACGGUCCAGACUCCGACGGGAGGCAGAAGUGGGGAAUAUGGGGCAAUGGGCGCAAGCCUGAUGCAGCCAUGCCGCGUGUAUGAAGAAGGCCUUCGGGUUGUAAAGUACUUUCAGCGGGGAGGCGUUACCCGCAGAAGAAGCACCGGCUAACUCCGUGCCAGCAGCCGCGGUAAUUC